UUAAGCAAUGUUUGCCAAAAGCAAAUCUGGGGACGGGUGUUGAUUUUAAAAGAGAAGGAAAGAAGAGCUAGUUGCUCACUGCAGGUUCUCCUGGCUCGGCGGUGCAGAGGCAAAGGCCUGUUUCUGCAAAGACUUUGAGGACCCAUGACUCUUCCUCAACCUCCAGACCGCUGGAGGUCCCUGAUAGUUGAAUAAGCUAAGUGCAGUGUGCCCGCCUAGUUCUUUCCUGGAAGAUGAAACGCAGCUCCCGAGUCGGGAGACGGAAGAAUGGAUAAACAUUCCUCAAUUGCUGUUGAUAGGUUCUCACCCCAGAACCCGGGCAGUCGGCCUCAUGCUCCAGAGUGCAGGUCCCGUAAGGCGUGAGUAUGGGGGUGUUUUCCACCAUGACACCAUGUGCAUCCCCACACGGCCCCCAAACGUAAUUAACAUGUCCUGUGGCUGUUGGAGAUUCUGGCUUGUUUAGAGAACUGGCUACCUGGCACUCCAUGCUCGACUGCAAAGAAAUGCUCUUUUGUGAUAACACGUCUGGACAUCCAGUGCAAGAAACUGAGCGUUAGCCCCCCUGACCCUCCCACCGCCCAGAAAGACUCCAACUGAAAGGUUGCACAAUGGCUGAUCAAAGUCUACCACAUUUCUUUCCAGGGCUACGAUUUUGUUCUGUCUCCACUCUGGGGAGUUGGAAGGCUGGAGCACGGACCAGCCAUCCCUCCCCCUACCUCCUGGUGAUGUUUGGAAAUCUUAAUUUUGUUUUAUAGGUCACAGGUCAGCCCAUCCAUGCGGAUCCUUGUAAUUGGACAGGACGUGCUUUGUGUGGUCUGAUUACAUCUUUUCUUUCAGACCCAAGGGGAGCCGUCAAUUAGAGCCGUGCUUGAGCCUAAGGCUGACCUGAACCGUUUGAAGGCAGAUCUUCCAUGGAGCGCCCCGGUACUACUUCAUUUCCAGGAAUCUUAAUUACAAGGCAUUACUCUGAUGGAUUGAAUGUAUUAAGUAGCCUCAAUUCACCCCAGUUUGCAGCCCUUUGGGAGGCGGCUCCCGUCCCAUCAUUUUCUGCCCCCCUUUGCUGCCCCAGUGCCAUGGCACCCGGAGGGCUUUGUUCCAAACCAACUUUGAGUCGUGAGUAUUAUCUGAAGCCCCUCCCUUGCCUGGAGGCCUUUCAGAAACUACUUUAUCUCUUGCAGGUCCUUUUCUGGAAAGGUCAAAGGGACGAGAGGGGGUCUCUGCAGUGUCCUGGAUCUGGUUUCAACCUCACCUUCUCCAUGUAUGAGAAAACAAGUCACUUGGAUUCACUGUGCCUCGGUUUCCCCAGAUGGCGAGCAGGACUCAGUCUUUUGGAAACUGAUCUCUUACUAGAACCAAGUCAACAAGAGCUACCCUUGGACUCUAGAUGCCUGGGAGGGUCUGGAGUCGUCAGGCAGAAGGAGAAGGUGGAGCGGGUCUUCCCGGAGGCCGGCUCCCACAGGGGCGGCCAAGGCUCUGGGCCUCUCGGCGUGCCUCUGUGGAUCCUGUUGGAUCCAGAACCGUCUGGAUCACCUGAAGAGUUAUUUGAAACCAGCUGA
ensembl:lincRNA